UGGAAGGAAAAAAACGUAACAAGGUCUCCGUUGGUGAACCAGCGGAGGGAUCAUUACUGAGUUUACGCUCUACAACCCUUUGUGAACAUACCUAUAACUGUUGCUUCGGCGGGUAGGGUCUCCGCGACCCUCCCGGCCUCCCGCCCCCGGGCGGGUCGGCGCCCGCCGGAGGAUAACCAAACUCUGAUUUAACGACGUUUCUUCUGAGUGGUACAAGCAAAUAAUCAAAACUUUUAACAACGGAUCUCUUGGUUCUGGCAUCGAUGAAGAACGCAGCGAAAUGCGAUAAGUAAUGUGAAUUGCAGAAUUCAGUGAAUCAUCGAAUCUUUGAACGCACAUUGCGCCCGCCAGCAUUCUGGCGGGCAUGCCUGUUCGAGCGUCAUUUCAACCCUCAAGCUCUGCUUGGUGUUGGGGCCCUACAGCCGAUGUAGGCCCUCAAAGGUAGUGGCGGACCCUCCCGGAGCCUCCUUUGCGUAGUAACUUUACGUCUCGCACUGGGAUCCGGAGGGACUCUUGCCGUAAAACCCCCCAAUUUUCCAAAGGUUGACCUCGGAUCAGGUAGGAAUACCCGCUGAACUUAAGCAUAUCAUA
rnacentral:rRNA from 1 species